GUGGGUGGGUGGGUAAUGCGGG
rnacentral:misc_RNA from 1 species